rnacentral:rRNA from 1 species
UCGGGAAUUUUGGGUAAUGGGCGAAAGCCUGACCCAGCAACGCCGCGUGAGGGAUGAAGUAUUUCGGUAUGUAAACCUCGAAAGAAUGGGAAGAAUAAAUGACGGUACCAUUUAUAAGCUCCGGCUAACUACGUGCCAGCAGCCGCGGUAAUACGUAGGGAGCAAGCGUUGUUCGGAUUUACUGGGCGUAAAGGGCGCGUAGGCGGCGCGGUAAGUCACUUGUGAAAUCUCUGAGCUUAACUCAGAACGGCCAAGUGAUACUGCUGUGCUAGAGUGCGGAGGAGGCAACCGGAAUUCUUGGUGUAGCGGUGAAAUGCGUAGAUAUCAAGAGGAACACCUGAGGCGAAGGCGGGUUGCUGGGCCGACACUGACGCUGAUGCGCGAAAGCCAGGGGAGCAAACG